AUAAACUACCUAUGGCAGAACGGAAUACUUACAGAAUGUACAUGAUUACCCCGAGCGACCAGAUAUCACAGCUUUUGUCGUACUUCUCCGGGCCGAGCACUUCGGGGGCGACGUAGUACGGUGUGUAGCAAGGCGUCUGCAGGGUAUCCUUGACGAAGGUUUCCUUCGAGAAGCCAAAAUCGGUCAGUUUCAGUAUCGCGUUCGGGUGUGGCGAAGUGUACAGCAAAUUCUCUGGCUUCAAAUCCCGGUGCGCAAUAUUGGAAUCGUGCAGAUAUUUGACAGCGACACAGAUUUCAUGCAUAAUAUGGGCGGCCUCUGUCGGCGUCAUUCAUUGUCGAACGGCAGAAGUGUGGGAUGGGUAGCGUUGGUGUGCAUGUGGGUGUGGGUGUAUAUAUGGAAGUUUAUGGUCAUAGUAGGGCCAGCAAUCCAGGUGGCGACAGGACGAAUGAGUACACAAUUCAGGAAAUCGAAAGUAAAUGAAAAGAGAAAAAAGAGAAAAAUAAUGAAUGGUUUGGAAUAGCUGUACUACAUGAAACAGUCCUUCAUUCGCCUCUAAAUUGUGGAGAAUCACAAGAAUUAUUCAGAAAGUUACAACUAAUCUAAUUCUUUAUUCAACUCACCUCUUUCCGUGAAGGGUCCAUCUUGACGUUCUUGGAUUCGUUGGAAAAGUUCUCCUCCCUCCAUACUGAAAAGCAGACAAUAGAAGAUCAAAUUUUAGAACCAAUUACUCUCGCAUUAUUCGUAACUUAAACGCGAGAUGGAGUGAAACGCAAAACUAGCGAAAGCAUUGAUUCAGUCACCACAUUAAAUUAGCACAUGCAUAAGUGAUUAUCGACCACUGCCCACGUGGCAACCAGCUUGAUUGCAGCGCGUCACGGCUGGGCUGCGAGCCGCCCUCGCUAUCGUUUCGACAUCAAAAACGACAACACAGCAAACAACAGCCAAUAGCCGCAAUAAAGUGCGUUGAAAUAAUAAUAAUAAUAAUAAUUAGGAUCAUAUUACCAUUCCAUGACGACCAGCAGGCAGCGGUUACCGCUGUAGCUAUUCUCGUACACAUCUUUUAUAUUCACUAUGUUCCGGCAGCCACUCGCGCGCCAAUGCAGCUCAACCUCGCGUCUGGCUUUAGCAUUGUCAUGUAGCACCUGUAAAGAUGACGAGAGAUGAGUAAAAUGAAAACAUGAAAAUCUCUGUAUCACAGAACAAUUGUGUGUGCGUGUGUGUAUGAUGAGCGAACAUAUCGUGAACCACUGGUUGCGCAAAUGCUUUAUAUUAAAGGCUUAGCUUAUUUUGUGUGUUCCGGAGAAUGGACUACGCUGCUGGCCCAGUGAUGUUUGCUUGUCACAUUUUUCGCCUCGUAAGCGAAAAACUAAGCGAACAAU